rnacentral:rRNA from 1 species
UACGUAGGAUGCGAGCGUUGUCCGGAAUUAUUGGGCGUAAAGAGAACGUAGGCGGUUUGCCAAGUUUGAUCUUAAAGACCGGGGCUUAACUCCGGGAGUGGAUCGAAAACUGGCAGACUAGAGGACGUCAGAGGAAAGUGGAAUUCCCAGUGUAGCGGUGAAAUGCGUAGAUAUUGGGAGGAACACCAGUGGCGAAAGCGACUUUCUGGGACGUUCCUGACGCUGAGGCACGAAAGCCAGGGGAGCAAACGGG